rnacentral:rRNA from 1 species
GACGAACGCUGGCGGCGUGCUUAACACAUGCAAGUCGAACGGAAAGGCCCUGCUUUUGUGGGGUGCUCGAGUGGCGAACGGGUGAGUAACACGUGAGUAACCUGCCCUUGACUUUGGGAUAACUUCAGGAAACUGGGGCUAAUACCGGAUAGGAGCUCCUGCUGAGUGGUGGGGGUUGGAAAGUUUCGGCGGUUGGGGAUGGACUCGCGGCUUAUCAGCUUGUUGGUGGGGUAGUGGCUUACCAAGGCUUUGACGGGUAGCCGGCCUGAGAGGGUGACCGGCCACAUUGGGACUGAGAUACGGCCCAGACUCCUACGGGAGGCAGCAGUGGGGAAUAUUGCACAAUGGGCGGAAGCCUGAUGCAGCAACGCCGCGUGCGGGAUGACGGCCUUCGGGUUGUAAACCGCUUUCGCCUGUGACGAAGCGUGAGUGACGGUAAUGGGUAAAGAAGCACCGGCUAACUACGUG